rnacentral:snRNA from 1 species
UAUUAAACUUAUAACUUUAUGGGAGUGGGACAGAAAUGAUAAAGAGCCACUAAUGAUUUAUUAUGUAGUGGUUCUUACACAUUAGCCACAGCUAAUGUGUACUUAAAAAUAGGAAUACAUGAGUAAAACUCAUGCAUAAGAAAUACUAAUUUCUAUAGAAAAAGUAUUUCUUUAUCGUUGUCCCGCCCCAACUUGCACAUUAUUGUAAGCUGGCGGAAAGUCAGCUUCUGUGUUGGGGCCCACCCCCCAACUCGCAUUGCCUGUAGAAUUUCUUUUCGAAAUUCUCUGUGUUGGGGCCCCACCCCAACUUGCA